GGAUCACAACAGUUUACUGGAGCGGGGCCGUCUUCGUAUCACCCUAUGCCGCCACUAGGAGGAUACGAAGGAGCUUCUUCCUAUCCAUCACCACCACCACCACCUGAAACACAGGGGUGGUCUGAAGACAACGACACGGCCUCCUUCGACUACUUUACACGAUUGUUUGCUACGCCUGCCCAGGACGAUGAUCCCAGCUUGCAUACACCUGUGGCUUUGUUACGCCGUCCUGCCAGAGACGUUGGGACACCGGAGUGUCAUAGCUACCCUACAAAUCACGUGCACGCACAACGUAAGAGAGGUCGGAAUGGUAGGGGUGGUUAGUUGUUGGCACUUGUUUCUCUAUUGUUAUUAUGGACUGUUUUGACUGUUCGGAUUAUGGUUGUUUAUGAUUGUGGUAGUUUACUUGUCAUUUGUUUCUAUAGAUAUUAUUGAUGCGAACUUGUUAUGUUUGUGGGUUCCAUAAUGCUCGUGAAAUAAGGGAAGUUCUUGCGAA